GCGGAAGUGACGGCGGAAAAGUAGCCCAUCAAUAGACCCAGACACGUACCCAGAAAACAUCUAAAAGAUACAAAAAUACACGCCGACAUGCAUUCAAAUAAUGCCCAGUGAAAAAUCAGCGCAGCUACGAGAUAUCAAAAUAUAAGCAAAGCUGAAACGCAUUUUUCGUGGAAAUAGCGCAGCAAAUGUGUGCAAAUGGGGUGGCAGAUUUCACGAAAAAUCGAACAGAGG
ensembl:ncRNA lncRNA:CR45644 long non-coding RNA:CR45644